rnacentral:misc_RNA from 1 species
CGCAUCUUGCGCUCUCUGGUAUUCCGGAGAGCAUGUCUGUUUGAGUGUCAUGAAUUCUUCAACCCAACUGUUUCUUGUAAACAGCUGGUGUUUGGAUUCUGAGCGCUGCUGGCUUCGUGCCUAGCUCGUUCGUAAUACAUCAGCAUCCCUAAUACAAGUUUGGAUUGACUUGGCGUAAUAGACUAUUCGCUAAGGAUUCAAUGUUCGCAUUGAGCCAACUUAAUUAUGGAAGCUUCUAAUUGAAAAGUCUACCUUUAGAUUAGAUCUCAAAUCAGGCAGGAUUACCCGCUGAACUUAA